CCAGGGAUCCCAGCUAUUGCAGAUUUUUUACUGAUACCCCUAACCCCUGCAUUGUUCAAGAUAUACGCUGUUUGUAUAUAUCUCUAUAUAAUUGGUUUCUGUUUUUCUAGAGAACCCAGAUCAAUUCAUAGAGAUUAUGCUGGGACAUGAAAACCUAAAUCACACCUCUAAGGAGAAAAAUCAGAAUUCAAUUUUAUUUUCUCUCAUGAGAAAAAUUAAAUAUUGAAGAAUGUGAUUUGGUCAGAGAGGGUUGAGUUUUGAAGGGCUACAAAGCACUGUAAUAUCUAAGAUUUUUUUUGCCAACCCGCAAAGAACCAAUUAUUGUGCCUUUGGGGGCCAAUAGAGCUCCUGUGGAGAAUGUAUGCCUUAGAGAGAGACAAGACGCUGCAACCAUGAAACAAGACUAAGUUGCUAUUCUUAAAAUGAACAUUGACGAAUAAAAAAGCAUUCUUGGAAUUUAAAAAUACGAAAGCAGAAAUUAAAAACUCAGUGGAGGAUUGUGAAUCAAAUCUCCCAGAAAGCAAAACAUGAAAUAAAAGAGACAUUGGGAAAAGAGAACAGAUUGUAAAAUUAUAGUAUUGGUUCAGGAUGUUCAAUGUUUAUUUUUAUUUUUAAGACUUUUUUAUUUAUUCAUGAGAGACACAGAGAGAAGCAGAGACGUAGGCAGAGGGAGAAGCAGACUCCUUGAUGAGCAGGGAGCCUGAUGGGGGACUCUAUCCCAGGACCCCAGGAUCACAACCUGAGCCAAAGGCAGACACUCAACCUCUGAGCCAUCUAGGUGCUCCAGAAAGUUCAACAUUUCAAUAAUAAAUGUUCCAGAAAGAGACUGGGUACGUGUGUGUGUGUGUGUGUGUGUGUGUGUGUUGGUAGUGGUGGGGAAUCAUUAAAUAAAUAAUAUGACUAAAUUCCCCCAAACUGAGGGAUCUGCAUCUCCAAAUCCAUAGCAGGGCCAUAGAGGGCCCAGCCCAACUCCUCCAACAUGAGGCACCUCCCCAUCACUCCAGAGCACUGGGAACAAAAAGACUAUCCUAAGACACUCAUUCUCUCUCUUAGGAGGUAUAUCCUCUAGCUCCUGGUGGGUAAGAAUUUUAAAGGCUUGAAUGCCAUUAAAUGAAAUGGCAUUUCUAGCAGAUUUGUCACAAGGACUUUAGUUCAUUUAACUUGUGAGUUUUGGGAAAAAGUUCUGAGGAUGCGAGAUUACAUUUUUUUUUCUUAAAGUGAGAGUAGACAACAUGAACAUUUCAGAAACAUAAAAAGAAGAAAAAGUGUCACCCGUAACUGAACAACCCUGAACCUAAUAUUUUAACCAUUUGAAAUUGGUUCCUUCUUAGGUGUGUGUUUUUUUUUAAAACUACCUGUCCUUGUAUAGAAUUUAUUAUUAAACAUAAUUGAAACCAUUCUUCUGUUUUAUAUUCCUGCUUACAUUAUAUAAGGAGCAUUUUCUUAGCAUUAAGUUUCCAAAACAACAGUUUUAAUGACUGUACAAUAUUCUAAUUUAUGGUAUAAUUUAUAUAACCCAUCUCCCAUUUUUAGAUAUUUAAGCUGUCAUUAUCUUUACACUGCUCUAAAUAGCGCUUUGAUGAAAAUGUUUGUAUAAAUACCUCUAAUUAUUUCCUUAAAUUGGAUUCCCAAACAUGGAAUUACGGGAUCAUAGAUUAUGUAUAGAUAUGAAAUUUGCUAUAUACAAUGUUUGAGUUCUAGACUUGCUUUGUCCAGUAUGAUAGCAACUAGCCACAUGUGGCCACAUUUAUAUUUAAAUGUAAUUUUAAAGUCCGUUCCUCUGUAGCACAAUCCACUAGCCUUA
rnacentral:lncRNA from 1 species